rnacentral:rRNA from 1 species
AUUGAACGCUGGCGGCAGGCCUAACACAUGCAAGUCGAGCGAGCGGCGGACGGGUGAGUAAUGUCUGGGAAACUGCCUGAUGGAGGGGGAUAACUACUGGAAACGGUAGCUAAUACCGCAUACAAUCCGAUGUGCCCAGAUGGGAUUAGCUAGUAGGUGGGGUAAAGGCCUACCAAGGCGACGAUGCGUAACUGGUCUGAGAGGAUGAUCCGUCACACUGGAACUUAGAAACGGUCCAGACUCCUACGGGUGGCAGCAGUGGGGAAUAUUGGACAAUGGGCGAAAGCCUGAUCCAGCCAUGCCGCGGGUGUGAAGAAGGUCUUCGGAUUGUAAAGCACUGUAAGUUGGGAGGCGUUACCAACAGAAUAAGCACCGGCUAACUUCGUGCCAGCAGCCGCGGUAAUAC